UUGGCCAUCCCUAUUUCCACCGUUGCCUCUGAGUCUGCCUUUAGCAACGGAGGACGUGUAUUGGAUACCUUUAGGAGUUCAUUGUCUCCGCUUACCGUUGAGGCCUUGAUUUGCACACAAGACUGGUUGAAGAAUCGCCCAAUGAUCUAUGAGGAAGUGUUUCAGGACUUUAUGGAAAGCUAUGAUGAACCUGAUGGGCCUAAGAAUCAACAUUCUCAUUCAAUGACGACAGACGACUGACACAUCUUAUUCCUAGAGGAAGGAUUUUGCUAGAAGACCGAAUAGGAGUCGUGUUGUUAUUUCCACAAGAUGGUUUUGUUCUUGAGUGUGGACUUAUGGACUAUGGAUAUGGUUUGAUAAUUGAUGGGUGUGGGUGUGUGGACUUUUGGACUAUUUGGA